rnacentral:rRNA from 1 species
CGGCGGACGGGUGAGUAACACGUAGGCAACCUGCCUGUAAGACCGGGAUAACUACCGGAAACGGUAGCUAAGACCGGAUAAGUGGUCUUCUCGCAUGAGAGGAUCAAGAAACACGGGGCAACCUGUGGCUUACAGAUGGGCCUGCGGCGCAUUAGCUAGUUGGUGGGGUAACGGCUCACCAAGGCGACGAUGCGUAGCCGACCUGAGAGGGUGAUCGGCCACACUGGGACUGAGACACGGCCCAGACUCCUACGGGAGGCAGCAGUAGGGAAUCUUCCGCAAUGGACGCAAGUCUGACGGAGCAACGCCGCGUGAGUGAUGAAGGUUUUCGGAUCGUAAAGCUCUGUUGCCAGGGAAGAAGUNCCCCNCCNC